GUGGGGAAUUUUGGACAAUGGGCGCAAGCCUGAUCCAGCAAUGCCGCGUGCAGGAAGAAGGCCUUCGGGUUGUAAACUGCUUUUGUACGGAACGAAAAGGCUCUGGUUAAUACCUGGGGCUCAUGACGGUACCGUAAGAAUAAGCACCGGCUAACUACGUGCCAGCAGCCGCGGUAAUACGUAGGGUGCAAGCGUUAAUCGGAAUUACUGGGCGUAAAGCGUGCGCAGGCGGUUUUGUAAGACAGGCGUGAAAUCCACGGGCUCAACCUGGGAAUUGCGCUUGUGACUGCAAGGCUGGAGGGCGGCAGAGGGGGAUGGAAUUCCGCGUGUAGCAGUGAAAUGCGUAGAUAUGCGGAGGAACACCGAUGGCGAAGGCAAUCCCCUGGGCCUGCACUGACGCUCAUGCACGAAAGCGUGGGGAGCAAACAGGAUUAGAUACCCUAGUAGUCC
rnacentral:rRNA from 1 species